rnacentral:rRNA from 1 species
GAUGAACGCUGGCGGCGUGCCUAACACAUGCAAGUCGAGCGAUUUACUUCGGUAAAGAGCGGCGGACGGGUGAGUAACGCGUGGGUAACCUGCCCUGUACACACGGAUAACAUACCGAAAGGUAUGCUAAUACGAGAUAAUAUGCUUUUAUCGCAUGGUAGAAGUAUCAAAGCUCCGGCGGUACAGGAUGGACCCGCGUCUGAUUAGCUAGUUGGUAAGGUAACGGCUUACCAAGGCGACGAUCAGUAGCCGACCUGAGAGGGUGAUCGGCCACAUUGGAACUGAGACACGGUCCAAACUCCUACGGGAGGCAGCAGUGGGGAAUAUUGCACAAUGGGCGAAAGCCUGAUGCAGCAACGCCGCGUGAGCGAUGAGGGCCUUCGGGUCGUAAAGCUCUGUCCUCAAGGAAGAUAAUGACGGUACUUGAGGAGGAAGCCCCGGCUAACUACGUG